UACGUAGGGGGCAAGCGUUGUCCGGAUUUAUUGGGCGUAAAGAGCGUGUAGGCGGCCAGGUAGGUCCGUUGUGAAAACUCGAGGCUCAACCUCGAGACGUCGAUGGAAACCAUCUGGCUAGAGUCCGGAAGAGGAGAGUGGAAUUCCUGGUGUAGCGGUGAAAUGCGCAGAUAUCAGGAAGAACACCUAUGGCGAAGGCAGCUCUCUGGGACGGUACUGACGCUGAGACGCGAAAGCGUGGGGAGCGAACAGGA
rnacentral:rRNA from 1 species